rnacentral:rRNA from 1 species
AUGGAGACGGAGAUGGAGGUGGAGGCGGAGUGGAUCGGCGGCCUGGACGAGAUGGAGGCGGGGACCGCGGGAAAGGGGGUCGUCCUCCCAGAGAACGCCGCCGACCUCGACGAGAUGGAGGCGGAGGGGACCGCCGACGGCGGAGCGACAGGGACGACGGAGGAGAAGGAGUGCUGGGAGUACGAGGCAGAGUGGGAGUACGAGCAGGCCCUCACCUUCCGCGAUAGCUGGAUUUCCAUCUGGGGCGACCAAUUCGGCUCCUUCGAGGAAACCACCGCCAUUCAGCCCAUGCGCUACACGGACGCAGAGGCUCCAGGGGGCUACGCCCAGCCCCUCGAUUCCCUGCAGAUCUACUCCAUCAAAGUCGCGGACAUCAGAGGGGGCCUGCGUUGGCCCAUCCAUGUCUACGGCAUGAUCGCCGCGCGCGACGUCGUCGACAGAAACCGCAACAUCGUCUUCCACCGCUCCAGGGAUCACUGCCAAACCCUCACCAAAGAGGAUUCGUGCUUGGUAAUGACAGGUCCUACCCGUCCCAUUGUUAUGUUGGGUGCCAUGAACUUUGAGAUUACGCUAAAAGUGAAGGAAGGCAGCACGGAGUCUAGGGAUAAAGUUUUAAGCUUCCUGGCUGUUCCUCAUGACACUGUUAACUGUUUGGAGCUCUCCUGCGCAACAGAUAGGAAAUACAUCAGCAAGCUCAGCACACUGGAGUUUACAAUGAGUCAAAUUGCUCGCUCCGUGGAGGCGACAAUCAGCGUGCAAAUGGUCGAUGGGUCGUCAUGGCCACACGGUGUCCGAGGUGAAUUUUCCGCCUGUACCACCAGUAUGGCCGACAGGAAAGUAGUUCUACUCGAUUCUGGAAGCGAGAAGGAAGUGGAGGUUGGUGCAGAUGGCAUGAUCCAGCUAUCUAGGUGUGUCGCUUCCGUCGAAUUCACCGGAGAGCUGAAGGUUUGUGUGGUUGCAUGGUGGCAAGGCGAGGUGAAACCCAAGAAAGCUUGGAAGGUUUUCAAGCCCAAGAAAGCUGGUAGGAACUAUGGCACCUUCAAUCUUGGCCGCGCGUGUAAGGUGAAAGUCACCGUUGCCUGGUCGCUUCUUUCCUACUAUCCGGUUAACCGCCCCAAUAGUCCUUACGGUUCACUGGCUUUACUCAGGGAGGCAGAGGGACAGAGUACUGUCUAG